rnacentral:lncRNA from 1 species
UUGGAUAUUUAAAAAUUGUUUUAAAUAAAAAAUCAAUUUCACCCCCUAAAAACAGGAUCGCAUACAGGUUACAGCAUUGAAAUCAGAAACUAAAACUAUCAAAUAUAAUUACAAAUUAAACUACAUUAUCAGCUAAACCCCGAUAAGAAGAGUAGCUGAUAACCAAAUAAACAAAUCUAGUUUUUAGCUGAAUUGAAUUGCACAACUCCAACUGCACCUAAUCAUAAUGACAUCUUCCUGGAUACUCUACCUCACCAUCUGCUUGAAACUCAACCACUUGCAAUCAUUGUCUAUCAUUGCUCUUACGCGCAGUCUUAAGUUUAUCAUCUUUAUCCCUAGCU